GGGGCCGCCGGUGGGAGGAGCACGGGAACUCGAGCGCCGGGGACAGCAGGGACGCGGGGACGCGCCGGAGAGGGCACCGGGGAGCUGGGGUAAGCACCGGAGUAAUUGUUAGCUGUCUGUACUGAAUUAAGGAAGAAGAAAUGCGCUGGCCGAAGCACAGUAACCAAAAGUGCAGCCGGAAGCUGCGGCAGAACUGCAAAGGACACAGAGAGAGCCGCUGUUCUCUCAGGACUUACCUGAGAGACCCGGAACUCCUCCUCCAAAGCCACAUCCAAGCUCCAACGUCUCCUUUCUUUUUUGAUGGACAUCUAUACACUAAUAUGUAUCAAAUGGAUAACUAAUAAGAACCUGCUGUAUAAAAAAUAAAUGAAAUAAAAUUCACAAAAA